AAAAAAAUCGAAACUUAACUCUAAUUAGUUUUAUAUUUAUGAUCGCAACGAUUACAACUAUAAUUGGACUGUUUAAAGCUUCAGCCUUUCCUCAUUUUCACUCUCCAAUCAUAAAAAAUCACCAUCACAGUCUCUGCUGAAAAAAAUGAGCUCCAAUAAAUCACAGACAAAAUCUUUUUCAAUUAUCAAAACUAUCGAUUCACAUCUACAAGUACGAGUUUCACCUGAAGAUGGUAAGUAGUAAUAAGCAAAUGGAUUUCAAAAUGCUUACAACUUUUUUACGCUGUGAAGGCUGCCAUAAAUACCCAAACUUUCCUGGCCAAGAACCCCUCUUUAUACCUGGAAAUGUUUUCUUGCUCCAGAAGCGAGUGUGGAUGGGGCACUCGUGCAGCCCACUGAUCAUAAAUUUGAGCAUUCUUUAUUGACUAGGUUUGUUGAGUUACAAUAUCGCAAAAUGUUAAGCUUAUGAUUUUUUUUCUCUUUUCCAUAUGCAUAUAUGAUACACAUGAAAAUUAACUUGAUGGUUUUCAUUUAUGGCCUUGCCCCCAAUGAGCUGUGCUUAACCUGAAGACCCUGUCACUUCCUCUAGACGUCCAAGUGAGAGACACAGGACAAAAGGUCCAUUUGGAAAUGUAGAGGUGGUUGUUUCUUUACUUUAAAGCUAUGUUCCAUCUUAGACAUUGUCUUUUCGAUCACAUGUUGAUUCACUAGAGUCAAUUAACCUCAAAGAUUCAUCAAAUGGUAUAAAUAUUCCUUCAUUGACAUGGUAUUGUAAAGUGUAAACUUAUAAAUUUAGUUUCUCUCUAU